rnacentral:rRNA from 1 species
UACGGAGGGUGCAAGCGUUAAUCGGAAUUACUGGGCGUAAAGCGCCCGCAGGCGGUCUGUCAAGUCAGAUGUGAAAUCCCCGGGCUCAACCCGGGAAUGGCAAUCGAAACUGGCAGACUAGAGUCAUGAAGAGGUGGGUAGAAUUUGAGGUGUAGCGGUGAAAUGCGUAGAGAUUUGGAGGAAUACCGGUGGCGAAGGCGGCCCACUGCACGAAGAUUGACGCUCAGGUGCGAAAGCGUGGGUAGCAAACAGG